UACGUAGGGGGCAAGCGUUGUCCGGAUUUAUUGGGCGUAAAGAGCUCGUAGGUGGUUCGGUAAGUCGGAUGUGAAAUCUCCAGGCUCAACCUGGAGGGGUCAUUCGAUACUGCCGUGACUAGAGGUCGGUAGGGGAGUGUGGAAUUCCUGGUGGAGCGGUGAAAUGCGCAGAUAUCAGGAAGAACACCAAUGGCGAAGGCAGCUCUCUGGGACGGUACUGACGCUGAGACGCGAAAGCGUGGGGAGCGAACAGG
rnacentral:rRNA from 1 species